rnacentral:lncRNA from 1 species
UGAGUGCUAUUCCCUGAGGCAGCUGCUGGAGAGUAUUGAAGGGCGGCUAAAUCAACAUUGCCUACUUUUUUUUUUUUUUUUUUUUUUUCCCCAGAGACCAAAUGUGUAGCCUCUGUGAUGCAAAUUAUAUUUAACCAGCUCUGGGGACUGAAUAUGGAUUGGUGCUUUGCAAAAAGACCUGAAGAGAGCUGAGGUAGUCUGUGGUAGUCUUGAAAGACGUUGACUUAUGUCUUCUCUUACUAAGAAAGAGAUUGCUACCAUUCUGGAUAGCAUUAUUGUUCCAAGCAUGUGAUGAUUAUUGUUGAAUAUGAGGAAGGGAAAGGAAAGGCACAGUCUGAGGAGACUACUUCAGUGGCACACCUUGAAGACAAAUAAGACUUAUCACACUCUUCCAGCUGUCUGGCAUGUGUUUGCAUUCAUAGCAACCUGCUGCAGUAUGAAGACAAGAUUCUCUCUGCUGCUGAAAGAAGAUAUGGAGCUGGUUGUUCUGAGUGUGUAGCUGCCUUGGGCCAUCCAUGCAACUCCUUGUGCAGGCAAGGAAGACUUAGGAUGAGGCUAGCAGAGCCUACUGGAAAUGUCAUUUUGAGAGACUUAAAUAAAAUUACAGCAUAUACGUAUGUGCA